UCAGCAGCCGCGGUAAUACGUAGGGAGCGAGCGUUGUCCGGAUUUAUUGGGCGUAAAGCGUGCGUAGGUGGUUCAGUAAGUUAGAUGUUAAAUUGACGGGCUUAACUCGUUAUCGCGUCUAAAACUGCUGGACUAGAGGACAGGAGAGGAAAGCGGAACUCACAGUGUAGCGGUGAAAUGCGUAGAUAUUGUGAGGAACACCAGUGGCGAAGGCGGCUUUCUGGACUGUUUCUGACGCUGAGGCACGAAAGCAUGGGGAGCAAACAGGAUUAGAUACCCUGGUAGUCCAUGCUGUAAACGAUGGUCACUAGGUGUGGGAGGUAUCGACCCCUUCCGUGCCGUAGCUAACGCGUUAAGUGACCCGCCUGGGAAGUACGGCCGCAAGGCUAAAACUCAAAGAAAUUGACGGC
rnacentral:rRNA from 1 species